rnacentral:rRNA from 1 species
AGCAGGCGCGUAAUUGCCCGAAUCCUGACGCAGGGAGGUAGUGACAAGAAAUAACGAUACAGGGCUACAUCUAGUCUUGUAAUUGGAAUGAGUACAAUUUACAUCUCUUAACGAUGAUCAAUUGGAGGGCAAGUCUGGUGCCAGCAGCCGCGGUAAUUCCAGCUCCAAUAGCGUAUAUUAAAGUUGUUGCAGUUAGAACGCUCGUAGUCGGAUUUCGGGGCAGUCCGACCGGUCUGCCGAUGGGUAUGCACUGGCCGGAGUGUCCUUUUUGCCGGAGACCGUGCCUACUCUUAACUGAGCGGGGGCGGGAGACGGCACUUUUACUUUGAAAAAAUCAGAGUGUUUCAAGCAGGCAGCUCGCUCUUGCAUGGAUUAGCAUGGGAUAAUGAAAUAGGACUUUGGUGCUAUUUUGUUGGUUUCGAACACCGAAGUAAUGAUGAGAAGGGACAGUCAGGGGCACUCGUAUUCCGCAGAGGGAGGUGAAAUUCUCAGACCCGCGGAAGACGAACCACUGCGAAAGCAUUUGCCAGGGAUGUUUUCACUGAUCAAGAACGAGAGUUAGGGGAUCGAAGAUGAUCAGAUACCGUCGUAGUCUUAACCAUAAACCAUGCCGACUAGGGAUUGGAGGAUGUUCACUGAUUGACUCCUUCAGCACCUUACGGGAAACUAAAGUCUUUGGGUUCCGGGGGGAGUAUGGUCGCAAGGCUGAAACUUAAAGGAAUUGACGGAAGGGCACCACCAGGUGUGGAGCCUGCGGCUUAAUUUGACUCAACACGGGGAAACUUACCAGGUCCAGACAUUGUGAGGAUUGACAGAUUGAGAGCUCUUUCUUGAUUUAAUGGGUGGUGGUGCAUGGCCGUUCUUAGUUGGUGGAGUGAUUUGUCUGGGUUAAUUCCGUUAACGAACGAGAUCUUAGCCUGCUAAAUAGUGACGCGAACUCUUUGUUGGCGGGCCACUUCUUAGAGGGACAACUUGUCUUCAACAAGUGGAAGUUUGAGGCAAUAACAGGUCUGUGAUGCCCUUAGAUGUUCUGGGCCGCACGCGCGCUACACUGAUGCACUCAACGAGUCUCCACCUUGACCGAAAGGUCCGGGAAACCUUCGAACUUGCAUCGUGAUGGGGAUAGAUUAUUGCAACUAUUAAUCUUCAACGAGGAAUACCUAGUAGGCGCAUGUCAUCAGCGCGCGUUGA